GACGGAGGGUGCUAGCGUUGUUCGGAAUCACUGGGCGUAAAGGGCGCGUAGGCGGCCUCAGGUGUCGGAUGUGAAAGCCCGGGGCUCAACCCCGGAGGUGCAUCCGAAACUCUGGGGCUGGAGGUCGGAAGAGGAGGGUGGAAUACCCAGUGUAGAGGUGAAAUUCGUAGAUAUUGGGUGGAACACCGGUGGCGAAAGCGGCUCUCUGGUCCGGACCUGACGCUGAGGCGCGACAGCGUGGGGAGCAAACAGG
rnacentral:rRNA from 1 species